AGGCCUAUGACAAGGUUUUUGAAAAGAUUUGGGCUGCUUCAGGAGGUUGGGCUGUCAUCAUGUGUCCUUGUGGCAUAGUUUACAGUAUAAAAUGUAAUCUGCGAGCAGAAAGUCCACGGGAUUUUGCAGAUAUGCUUCUGUCUUGGAAGCAUCUGCCUAAUGUUGUUAUUUAUGCCUUUGCCCGUGGACUGUCCACCCACACAAAUUUAAGGCAACCCAUAACUUUCACACCUUUCGAGGGAAGGUUACUCGAACCAACCACUGAAAAUAUUGCAAAAGCAAAAUCAGGAAAAUUACAACUGCAAAAAAGCCAGAUCCGCAUGGUCAUCCAAUAACUGGUUCUGCAGAACACUAUGUUCUGUAUGACCGCUUUCACGAAGACAACACAAAAGAUCCUCGUGAUUCACUGAGGAAGCUUCGUCUUGUGCCUCAACUAGCUGGCAAAGUUAACAGUCAGGCUGCAGAACAGCUUUUUUCAAAGCUAAAGAAAAAUAACUACUUUAUGAACAUGGCAUUGCCAUCCACACAUGUUUUCCUCAUGCGAAACAUCUUCCACCAUUACAAUGUCAGAAAAAACGAGAAACGUCUUCAUGACAUAAAAAAGGAAUUCAACAAAAACAUUCACAUGAAUGACCGUAGCCAGGUUGUGUUAGGUAAUGUUUCCCUUACUUUGUAACAAAUACAUCACUAUAUCCAUAACUGUACUUAUGUGUAUAUUUGUAUUUAUAGAAAAUCCAUCCUCCACAGAGAAAUGCAUGGACAUGUCACUUGGACCACUGACAGCACUGCCAGAAAAUAUUGUGACUUUACAAACGACCGCUGCAUCACCAGGCAUA